rnacentral:rRNA from 1 species
AUUGAACGCUGGCGGCAUGCCUUACACAUGCAAGUCGAACGGCAGCAUAGGAGCUUGCUCCUGAUGGCGAGUGGCGAACGGGUGAGUAAUAUAUCGGAACGUGCCCUAGAGUGGGGGAUAACUAGUCGAAAGACUAGCUAAUACCGCAUACGAUCUACGGAUGAAAGUGGGGGAUCGCAAGACCUCAUGCCUCUGGAGCGGCCGAUAUCUGAUUAGCUAGUUGGUGGGGUAAAAGCUCACCAAGGCGACGAUCAGUAGCUGGUCUGAGAGGACGACCAGCCACACUGGGACUGAGACACGGCCCAGACUCCUACGGGAGGCAGCAGUGGGGAAUUUUGGACAAUGGGGGCAACCCUGAUCCAGCAAUGCCGCGUGAGUGAAGAAGGCCUUCGGGUUGUAAAGCUCUUUUGUCAGGGAAGAAACGGUUCUGGAUAAUACCUGGAGCUAAUGACGGUACCUGAAGAAUAAGCACCGGCUAACUACGUGCCAGCAGCCGCCGUAA